UACGUAGGUGGCGAGCGUUGUCCGGAUUUACUGGGCGUAAAGAGCGCGCAGGCGGUCGUUCAAGUCGCGUGUGAAAGCCCCCGGCUCAACUGGGGAGGGUCACGCGAUACUGAUCGACUCGAAGGCAGGAGAGGGAAGUGGAAUUCCCGGUGUAGUGGUGAAAUGCGUAGGAUAAUCGGGAGGAACACCAGUGGCGAAGGGCGAACUUCCU
rnacentral:rRNA from 1 species